rnacentral:lncRNA from 1 species
CAUGAUUGUGAUGCCUCCCAGCCAUGUGGAAAUCACCCUGGCAAAGUAUACAUAAAAAUCAUGAAUCUGUGUCUCCGGGACCCAUCAGUGAAAUUCCUGGAGCACUGGCCUAAGGACUUGACCUCUUGCCCACCAGAUAACUCUUGUUAAAACAGAUUUCAAGUCAUAAUCUCUCCUGAAGACUCUUGAUUCAUUGUCAUGCAUCCCCUGGUACUAUUAUACACAUCCAUUAUAAGAAGAAAGCUAACAGAAAAUAUGCUUCCUUGCCAGAGUAUACUACUAAGUUGGAAUCACAGCAGUAUUUUCUUCUAUGAACUCUAUA